AAUGAACGCUGGCGGCAGGCCUAAAACAUGCAAGUCGAACGCUUGUAGCAAUACAGGAGUGGCGCACGGGUGCGUAACACGUGGGAAUAUGCCUAUUGGUACGGAACAGCUCCGGGAAACUGGAAUUAAUACCGUAUGGUCCCUUCGGGGUAAAGAUUUAUCGCCAAUAGAUUAGCCCGCGGGGGAUUAGCUAGUGGGUAGGGUAAUGGCCUACCAAGGCGAAGAUACAUAGCUGGUCUGAGAAGACGAUCAGACACACUGAGACUGAGACACGGCCCAGACUCCUACGGGAGGCAGCAGUUAGGAAUAUUGGACAAUGGGCGCAAGCCUGAUCCAGCCAUGCCGCGUGAGUGAUGAAGGCCUUCGGGUUGUAAAACUCUUUAGCCGAUGAAUAUAAUGACUGUAGUCGGAAAAUAAGCCCCGGCUAACUUCGUGCCAGCCGCCGCCGUAA
rnacentral:rRNA from 1 species